rnacentral:rRNA from 1 species
UCGCCUGUUUAUUCAAAAACAUCGCUAGUUACUCUCACUAGUAGAAUCUGCCCGGUGAAAAUUUUAACGGCCGCAGUAUUCCUGACUGUGCUAAGGUAGCAUAAUCAUUUGCUUUUUAAUUGAAAGCUAGUAUGAAUGAUCUGACGAGAGAAAAACUGUCUCAAUACUUCUCGGAAUUUAAAUUAAAAGUUAAAAUUCUUUUCCCCCCCAAGAGGACGACAAGACCCUAUAAAAUUUUACUUUUACAAAAUCUUACUCUAGAAUCUAUUUAUUUCGACUAAAAGUUUAGCUGGGGCGGCUAAAUUAUCUAUAAACAAAUCAUAACUAAACUUAUUUUAAGAUUCUUAAUAAACAUUUUAUUUAACAAAGAACAAAUUACUUUAGGGAUAACAGAGUAAUAUUUUUAGAGAGUCCUUAUCGACAAAAAAGAUUACUACCUCGAUGUUGAAUUGAAAUUCCUAGGUGGAGCAGCCUCCUUCUGCGAAAGUCUGUUCGACUUUUAAAUUUUCACAUGAUCUGA